rnacentral:lncRNA from 1 species
AUUUUUCCAUGAUUAAUCUGGCACUAUUAGAUAAAAAAAAAUAAAUUUAGAACAAAAGUUUACAUAGAAAUAUACUUCUGCAUUCCGACACGACUGCAGAAAAUAUAUAAUAGUCGACUUAUUAAGAUUGUAAAAAAUAUAUUGUAACCAACUCAUUGCGAUAUGCGGAACAUAAUCACUACAACAGAAUUAGGUUAUAGGGACACAUGUUUGGAACACUUUUGAAUAAGUGUCUCAUUUAUACUAAAACUUAAAAAAACAUCUACUAAUGCCUAAAUAUAAAGCUCAAUCCAACUAAAAAUAAAAGAUUACUCUAUUCAACCCACCAUACUCAGUCUAUUUGGCCCGAUUACAAAUAGAAAAGAAAAAAAGAAAAAGAAAAAUCAAUUACCAUCUUUUCUUCUCUCUUUAUUCAAUCCACUGAAAUUCUAGACGAAGAGUCUUUCAUGUUGUCCUCCUUCGCCACCGCAGCCAACGAGAUAGAGUUUCGACGGUUGCUAAAUGUUUAAAUAAGUGUUGGUAAAUUAGCAGCACUUUUUUAGGUUAUAGCGACACUCUUUAACUGUCACUAUAUACCUAGCGACCCCACAUAUAGCAACACUUUUUAAAAAUGUCGGUAAUUUUAGCUAGCAGCACUUUUUUGACAUGUACCUAUAUUUAAAAGUGUCGCUAUAGACCGUUUUUGUUGUAGCGAAUACAAUUUCUCCGCAAUUUCAAACGGAACCUAAUUUGGAUGUUAUAAUGUUUGGAUUGCCGCAUUUCCUUUUUCACAUUAAAAUAUAAAAAAAUUACACAAUUUAGUAAUUGCGUGUCAUCUAGAAAAGAAAAUGGGUUGAAUAUAAAUUAGAUAGUGCUUAAUUAAUAUCCAUGUAUUAUUACUUCAACCUGUAUUUUUUUUUGAAAGAUAGGUAGCACGCUACCCGCUUCGUUUAUUUUAUUUAAAAAUAAACUUAGCUAGAAAUGUGAAUCAAUUAGGAUUCGAAUUUGAGUUUCGGAUACCAACCACCAAGCCCUUUGUCACUUGCUCUAGGGAUGGUCACACUACAAUAAAAACGGUCUAUAGCGACACUUUUAAAUGUAGGUAUAUGUCAAAAAAGUGCUGCUAGCUAAAAUUACCGACACUUUUAAAAAGUGUUGCUAUAUGUGGGGUCGCUAGGUAUAUAGAGACAGUUAAAAAGUGUCGCUAUAACCUAAAAGAGUGCUGCUAAUUUACCAAUACUUAUUUAAGCAUUUAAUAACCGCUGAAACUCUAUCUCGUUGGCUGCGGUGGCGGAGGAGGACGACAGGAAAGGCUCUUCGUCUAGAAUUUCAGUGGAUUGAGUGAAGAGAGAAGAAAAGAUGGUAAUUGAUUUUUCUUUUUUUUUUUCUUUUCUGUUUGUAAUCGGGUCAAAUGAACUGGGUGUGGUGGAUUGAGUAGAGUAAUCUUUUAUUUUUGGUUGGAUUGGACUUUAUAUUUAGGCAUAAGUAGAUGUUUUUUUAAAUUUUAGCAUAAAUGAGACACUUAUUCAAAAGUGUCCCAAACAUGUGUCUCUAUAAUCUAAUUCUGUUGUAGUGUCAGUCACUUCAACCUGUAUUAAACAUGCAACUCCUGCCCUAUAAACAGGCCGAGUCUCUAAAUGCAGUCUUAUUUUGGAAAGAAAAUGGACUGGAUAUAAAUUAUGUAGCAUCUAAUGCAUAUUCAUAUAUAUAUAUAUAUAUAUAUAUAUAUAUAGAGAGAGAGAGAGAGAGAGAGAGAGAGAGAGAUAAGCUAGAAUACUUUCAAAAACACCAAAUUGGUGGUGUUUUUGAGUUUUUAGCUUGAUGAAGAAAUAUAAGAUUGGGAUGAUGAUGGCAGAUGAUGGUAGGUGAAAUAGUGUUUGAUCCAAAGAUAUUAAUAAUAAAAAAGUAGAUCCAAUGGCUAAAAAUUUAAAAGCACCAAUGAGUUGAUGCUUCUAAAAGAAUUAUAGCUCAAUUCUAUAUAUAAUAUAUAUACAUUAUU